GAUGAACGCUAGCUACAGGCUUAACACAUGCAAGUCGAGGGGAAACGAUAGAGAAAGCUUGCUUUUUCUAGGCGUCGACCGGCGCACGGGUGAGUAACGCGUAUCCAACCUGCCCACCACUUGGGGAUAACCUUGCGAAAGUAAGACUAAUACCCAAUGAUAUCUCUAGAAGACAUCUGAAAGGGAUUAAAGAUUUAUCGGUGAUGGAUGGGGAUGCGUCUGAUUAGCUUGUUGGCGGGGUAACGGCCCACCAAGGCUACGAUCAGUAGGGGUCCUGGGAGGAAGGUCCCCCACAUUGGAACUGAGACACGGUCCAAACCCCUACGGGAGGCAGCAGUGAGGAAUAUUGGUCAAUGGACGAGAGUCUGAACCAGCCAAGUAGCGUGCAGGAUGACGGCCCUAUGGGUUGUAAACUGCUUUUAUAAGGGAAUAAAGUGAGUCUCGUGAGACUUUUUGCAUGUACCUUAUGAAUAAGGACCGGCUAAUUCCGUGCCAGCCGCCGCAGUAA
rnacentral:rRNA from 1 species